CGGGCGGGUGCGCCGAGGGAGGUGGCGAGGGCGGGGGCUCCGGGCGGUGCUGGGGGCGGGGAGCCGGGCAACCGGAGUGGAGGGGUAGGCGGGGGGUCGGGAGUGGCCAGCCAAUCAGGCGGACGGUGCCACCUCAGGGAAUGACGCUCGGGCCAAUGGGAAGGGCACUCCAUUCCGUCAACGCCGUGGGUCGGAAAGGGAACUGGGUGGGAGUCGGGCCAGGCUGGUGAGUGCCCUAGGGAGGAGAAAAGAGAGGGAGAAGUUCCUGCGAAGAACUGCGGGAAUGUGCGGCUGGAAUUCACUCUCCCCCGGCUUAGGCUGCUAAGGGAGCUCUGGGCCCUGCUCGAGGAUCUCCUGCCACUCCCAAUAGCGCCGCGCCCUGGGACCCUCCGCCACCCAUCACUCCAUCCCUGGGAUUCCAGUGCCUUAAGAAGGACGCUGUUCAAGAAGAAAUCUACAACCUGUAGUACAUAAAAUGAUCUUGCCCUUUGGCAGAUUAUUAAAUGGAAACUGUUUGGCACCUCCCAGCAUUGUCCAUCAACAGUCUUCCCAGAACUGCUGACUCUAAUCUCUGGUGCACAUGGUUGGAGGAAUGGAUUCAAUCCAGGAUACCAAAUUGCAUCUGGAACUCCAACUUUUGAGGAAAAUUAGGACCAGAGUUAGAGCUAUAAAGACCUCAGACCUAACGGAUAACAACUGAGAUUUGGAAUCAGGAAGAGCAAAUAGAAAUAGCACAGAUGGAAGCCUUGGAAAAACCUUGGCUUUAAAGAGAGAUUGAAAGAAGAUGUGAGCUGAAUGCACCCCAUGUGAACCUUGUAACUCUAAUCUCCAAGGGAACCAGGAACUUAACGACGCCUCAGCCACCUCUGAGGAAACACAUCCAGAGCAGACCUGAUUUGGAUAUCUACCAAGAAUCUACAGAAGUUGACAGAGACUGACCAUCAUAGAGACGCAGUGAGUCAUCUGGCUUGCUGAGAGAGGAAAAUAUCUUCAGAUACAUACUUAUU
rnacentral:lncRNA from 1 species